ensembl:snoRNA U3 Small nucleolar RNA U3
AAGACUAUACUUUCAGGGAUCAUUUCUAUAGUUCUUUACCAGAGAAGUUUCUCUGAACACGUAGAGAGAGCACUGUGCCUUGGGGGAAAAAAAAAAAAAAAGGGGC